rnacentral:rRNA from 1 species
ACUCCUACGGGAGGCAGCAGUGGGGAAUAUUGCACAAUGGGCGCAAGCCUGAUGCAGCCAUGCCGCGUGUGUGAAGAAGGCCUUCGGGUUGUAAAGCACUUUCAGUUGUGAGGAAGGUGGUGUCGUUAAUAGCGGCAUCAUUUGACGUUAGCAACAGAAGAAGCACCGGCUAACUCCGUGCCAGCAGCCGCGGUAAUACGGAGGGUGCGAGCGUUAAUCGGAAUUACUGGGCGUAAAGCGCAUGCAGGCGGCCUGUAAGUCAGAUGUGAAAGCCCGGGGCUUAACCUCGGAAUUGCAUUUGAAACUGGCAGGCUAGAGUACGUUGUAGUAGGGGGUAGGAAGUUUACGUAGGU